AUUGAACGCUGGCGGCAUGCCUUACACAUGCAAGUCGAACGGCAGCACGGGGGCAACCUUGGUGGCGAGUGGCGAACGGGUGAGUAAUACAUCGGAACGUGUCCUGGAGUGGGGGAUAGCCCGGCGAAAGCCGGAUUAAUACCGCAUACGCUCUAAGGAGGAAAGGGGGGGAUCUUCGGACCUCUCGCUCAAGGGGCGGCCGAUGGCAGAUUAGCUAGUUGGUGGGGUAAAGGCCUACCAAGGCGACGAUCUGUAGCUGGUCUGAGAGGACGACCAGCCACACUGGGACUGAGACACGGCCCAGACUCCUACGGGAGGCAGCAGUGGGGAAUUUUGGACAAUGGGCGCAAGCCUGAUCCAGCAAUGCCGCGUGUGUGAAGAAGGCCUUCGGGUUGUAAAGCACUUUUGUCCGGAAAGAAAACCUCGUGGUUAAUACCCGUGGGGGAUGACGGUACCGGAAGAAUAAGCACCGGCUAACUACGUGCCAGCAGCCGCGGUAAUACGUAGGGUGCAAGCGUUAAUCGGAAUUACUGGGCGUAAAGCGUGCGCAGGCGGUUCGCUAAGACAGAUGUGAAAUCCCCGGGCUUAACCUGGGAACUGCAUUUGUGACUGGCGGGCUAGAGUAUGGCAGAGGGGGGUAGAAUUCCACGUGUAGCAGUGAAAUGCGUAGAGAUGUGGAGGAAUACCGAUGGCGAAGGCAGCCCCCUGGGCCAAUACUGACGCUCAUGCACGAAAGCGUGGGGAGCAAACA
rnacentral:rRNA from 1 species